UACGUGGGAAGGGAUCUUAGAAACCACAUAGACACGAUCCUCAUUUUAUAAAUAAGACCAGAAGGACAUCAGAAUGAAGAAAUUGUUUACAUGUAGUCUCACAGUCUCACACCUACCUGAGGAAGAAAGGAGAAAUCACUUAAAGAUGAUCAUCAGGCCUGAAGUGGGAGAUGAUAAUCCAUAUGAUGCUGAACUCCUAUAUAAUUACUGAACAAUAUGUAUGAAGCCAUUGGACAUGACAAGUAUUGAAAUUCUCAGGACAACGUCUAUACUAAACAUGUACUACAUGCUUUGUUAAGAGAAACACUAAUUACCUAUUAUUCUGACUUUGGUAGAGUUUUAUUCUGCUACCUGGGUGUUAAAAUAUUGACAAAACACCCUGGGUCUUGC
rnacentral:lncRNA from 1 species